GGGUGUGUGCACAUGAGCAACAGGUAAGCGGGAGUACAGGUGGACCGGUAAACAACCUAGCAGCGGGUAUUUGGAACGUGGCCCUGUUCGACGCCCAAACUACAGAUUGGGCUUGAUGGGCCUACACCGUAAUUGAUGAGACCAUGAUCACUACCCACCUAUUGUAUGGAGGCCUAGAGCCGAGGGCCGAAUAGCUGUACUGGUUUAUGUACUCCGAGAUCCUACUCGUCCUAUGAACUUUAUGCCUAUUGUGUACCUUUUCUGGUUUGGAAGGAUGGGCUGACAUAACCUGCGUGGUAUGUCUAAGCGGUGAUACACAUCGGGGCAGAGAUGUGACAUAGUUAUUGAUGACGUCACAGUUGUUGAGAUAUUCAACGUCUUGGGAUCAUCAUUACAGACGUAGAGAUUCUGUUCUACUAUAACGUUGAUUCCCUGUUGUGGAUGCUGACCAUGUUCAGCACAUGUAUAUUGAGCACUGCGUGUGUGACUUUGUUCUGCUGUAUAAGACGGCACUGAUGAGAUCCCGAGGGACCUAUGACGGAGACAUUGUUGUUCAUGUUCAUCUGGAGCUUAACAACCUAACUGUGUGGACUCGGUGUUCAACUGUGGUGGCCUUUGAGAGACUUGUAGGGAAUAGGGUGUCUAUGUUCAUGUGUUUAUGCUUAUAUAUCUAUGAAUGUAUCAGAGUGUGUUGUAUGUAAGGUUGUGUGAUGAGCGUGUUUAUAAAUAAAUUUUAAUAUACAUGCUUGUACAAAUUGUAAAUAAAUAUUGUAUCAAUUGUA